GCAGAUUCUGCAGUCCUGAGUCAUGGUCAUGAGGAGAAGAGCUGUAACACUGUGAUACAGAAUUUCCAAUCUCUAACCUGAGCAGACUGGCCUGCUCAUCAGCGUGUUCACAGGGCAGCUCAGAUCCCAGCUUGGAUGCUUCAGGGUCACAACCUUCAUCAGCUCCACCAGCAGAACCCUUGUCAGCUCCUGAGCCAACAUCCAAAUGCUUUCCUAACGCUUGGCUACCUUAGAGAACAGCAAUGCUGAACCCUGAGAAGCAAUCAAAGGUUUUACGAGAUGCUGCAAACCCCCAUCUCUCUCCACUCCCUGUGAAGCCUCUCCUGCAAUGGUCACCACACAAUGAAGAGACAGCUCCCUGUAAAACACAGCUGCAAACCAUACAGACAAUUUACAGGUCUUAGAGAUGGCAUUUGUGCAGAGGUCCUGCAGAAGGGAGAUCCUGAAUGUUGGACCCUGUUGGUGGAAUGUCAUUAAUCAGAGGAUAAUGGACAGGAAGGUGGGUGGCUGCUGAUAGUUUUGGCUCAUUUAAGACCGUUUUGGAAGGCUGCCAGAUU